CUCUCCCUUCCUACCUCUCUCACGCGCACCAUGAACUACUGACUAGGUAGGCUUCGAGAAUAAUCCUAACAAAUGAAAAGGGGAGAGGUGAAGCUGGGGGGAUUUUUCAGUCGUCCUUUCCCCUCUAUAUGAGUUAAAGCGUAUUCUUCUUUUGUCCCCCUUCCGCGAGAAUAUCCUUUGUUUAUCUCUUAGAGUGAUGCGAGCAAGUUACACGAAGGAAUCUAUACUGAUUUUUAGAGACCUCAGUUUCCUCACGUAUGUUCUAACCCGCGAUUCCUGGCAGAUCUGCUCCAACCAAUGUUGGAAAUGCAUAAUCAGGAUUGUACCCGUCUUAUUUGGAUAGAUAGAAUUGCAGUGGAUUUGGGCGGGGUUUUAGAGGGAAAUUAGUUCAUUCCCUCUUCAAGUCUUCAGGAAUGGGUUUAUCCAAAGCCCUAAAGAUGUGGUGUCCACAUUUCAAUGGGCUGCAGAUUUGCUUGAUAAAGUCGUAUAGAUUUUCUGUUGAUGGAGAUGUCUAGAUACGCUGUUUCUUUUUACAGUUUGUUUGUAUUGAGAGUAGCUUACUGGUGGAAGUGUGGAACGCUUGCUGGAUGUAUUGCUAGCAUGGUUACCUUGUCACUCUGUAUCUCGUUCCUAUCAAUGAUUAAAUCUGAGGCAGGUCUUCACUAUGGUUACUGCUUAGUCCCCUUUCUAAGGUAGAUCUAUCACUAUGGGGACUGCUUAGUCUUGCCUUUUUGACUUUUCUCCUCAGUCCUCGUUCUGAGGUAGAUCUAUCACUAUGGGCACUGCUAAUUCUUGACUUUUUGACUUUUCUGCUCAGUCCCCGUUCUAGUUUGUGUUAAGCACGCUACCCGUUGUAUUUCCGUUACAUGUUAAUGGACAUGGGGAUGGUUUCAAUUCGAAAAAAUCAUAGUAGGCAAAUUUGGAAAGGGGUGAUGUGACUCAAAUCCUAAUCCUUAGGAUUUUUUUUCAAUUUAAAUUCUACCACAAAAGUUCCUGAGGUGAUUACCACUUCCAAGCUUGUUGGCACUGCUAAAUGCUCACUAUCUGUGGUCUGUACUGUUCUAGUGUUCAACUUCCUGCAAUGAAACAAUUGAUUUUUUUACGACUUAUAAAGUUGAUGUCAUA